rnacentral:rRNA from 1 species
UACAGAGGUGGCAAGCGUUGUUCGGAAUUACUGGGCGUAAAGGGCGCGUAGGCGGCCUUCUAAGUCAGACGUGAAAUCCCUCAGCUUAACUGGGGAACUGCGUCUGAGACUGGCGAGCUUGAGGGCAGGAGAGGAACGCGGAAUUCCAGGUGUAGCGGUGAAAUGCGUAGAUAUCUGGAGGAACACCGGUGGCGAAGGCGGCGUUCUGGACUGCAUCUGACACUGAAAGACGAAAGCCAGGGGAGCAAACGGG